CAUGAAUUCAUUUUAUAUUAGGAAUCUCAGGCAGCAUGUACAGUCUUUUGUAAGAUCGUGUGAACGCUGCUCUUUUUACACACUUACAGAUUGAUUUUAUUCAUGUAUCCAAAAUUGGUAAGAAACAGCAAUACUUACUGGUCAUAGUUGAUCAGUUUAGUAGAUGGCAUGAGGCCUUUGUGAUAUCUAGGGAAGAUUCUAGUGAAGAUUAUUGUUACUGAAAUUAUUCCCCGGUAUUGCUGCCCUCUGCAGAUUGGCUCUGAUAAUGGCCCGGUUUUUGCAAGUGGGGUUGCCCAGGAACUUGCUAAAUUCUUGCAAGUUACCUGGCAGUUUCAUAUACCCUAUCAUCCACAGAAUACAGGGGUAGUUGAAAGGAUGAAUAGGACUAUUAAGGAAAAGCCCAGAAUUUACCCAGGAACAUGGGUAAAUUGGACAAGAUAUCUACCAGCUAUUUUAGCUGAGAUAAGAAUGAAUCCCCACAAGGUGAAUUGUUGAUAAAACUGAAUGGUAUGUAUGACAAUGUUUCUUCGCAGUUUUCCCUUACCUUCACAGGAACCUACUCAUUCAUACCAGCCCGGUGACAAGGUGUAUAUCCGUCAGCUGAACAGGACCAAGAAAGGAGGAUACCCUUUUGGACCACCUGCUACUGUGAUUGCUGUAACCAGAACCGCUGUCCUCACAGAUUCCCACGACAUCUGGAUUCACGCAUCCCGAGUGAAGCUGUGUCCAAAGAGGGGAACCAAGGAAGACAACACCACUCCUCGCUCGGAAACAGAAGAAUUUCUCCUCAGCGAAGCAUCAUGGCUUUUACACCAUAUCGUAGAUUGAGAGGAUCAUACGUACCUGAGACCAAGAUUAUGUUGUGCGCUAUGCUUUCUGGAGUUGUUAUACUCCCUCUGAUAUUGUUCCUUGAAUGCCAUUAUGAGUACAAGUCAAUGGCAAGUUCUGGAAAAAGACUUUGACAUGAUGAACAAUUCUUCAAUACCCCCAGCCCAAUUAGGCCUUAGCCCCUCAUCUAGCAUUCGUCACACACGCCCUCUCAAGAACCCUUCUCCACCACCUUUCUAUCAGCAUGUAAUAUGCAAUCAUUCAUUCACUGAACGCAUUUGGAUGAAUUGGACAAAUAGUAACCCUUAUAAGUACCAGUUACCCAUAUGAAAUGUGUCUACAGCUAAUGAAACCGAUGCAUUAUGUUUGUUUAAAGGUUCACAGAAAAUUGUUAGAUCUUAUAACGCAGAAAUGUGCACAGUUAAGGUUGCAUAUCAAUGUAAACAGACAGGCCUUAUUACUUUUAAUAAUGAUUAUAUAACUGGUAUCAUUAAUUGGAGAAGGGGACAAAUGUUAGUCAUUAUGAACAACACUACAAUUGAG